rnacentral:lncRNA from 1 species
AUGUCCUUCCCACUGCCAAGAUGGAUUAAUGCUGGGAGACCUUACAACUGGGUGACGUCAUCGCUGCUCAGAGAUAAAACAGACUUCUCUUGGAAAGCUCCUGCCAGGGCAGGCUCCUAUGUCCUGGAAGCUGUCCCGGACCCCGUCCCGCAGGCUCCAGAGCACCCGGUGCCCCGCCACCGAGCCCCUGCUGUUUAUUGCUUUGGCUCACUGGUUAAAUGCGAAAGUUCAAGAUUUUCUUUCCCUUUUUUCAUAAUUAUAAAAGUAGGACUUUUUUUUUUUUUUUUUUUUUUCAGUGGCCACACCUGCUGCCUGUGGAAGUUCCCAGGCUAGGGGUCAAAUGAGAGCUGCAGCUGCUGGCCUAAACCACAGCCACACCAACGUGGGACCCAAACCGCGUCUGUGACCUACACCACAGCUCACAGCAAGGCCCCAUCCUUAACCCACUGAACAAGGCCGAGUAUCAAACCCUCGUCCUCAUGGACAGGAGUUGGGUUCAUUACCUCUGAGCCACAACAGGAACUCCCCGAUAUCCUCAUUUCAAAAGGCAGAAAAUUAUAAAGAGAAAAUUAAUCAACCAGAGCCACACCCUGAAGGCUUAGUCUCUGUUAAUGUUAAUUUUGAUGCAUUUCUUUCUAGUCUUUUUUUCUCUUUAUUUGCGACAGAUUUUCAAGCAUUGCUCAGUGGCAGUCAUGUCGAAAAUAAUUUUGUAUACUACCUUUUUAACUUAAUAUUGUAGCAGAAAUGAGUUUUCAGCAAGCAUUUCUGUAAAGUUCCAAAAGACUCUUAGUGGAUGUACUAUCAGAUACUUGAAUAUUAUUUCUAUUGACGGACACCUAGAAUGUUUCCAGUUUCCACUGGUAUAUAGGUGGAAGGUACAUCAUCCCUGCACCCAUUGCCAUGUUGGCUUGGGAUACUAUUUGGUGGAGCCCGCAAAGGCAAACUAAGAACUUCGCCCAGUAUAAGUUAAAGGGGGAUGGAAACUUGAAAAAUUCUGCCUUUUCCAUAUUGCUGAUGGUGGAGAACCAGGCUUGGAGCUGACUGCAAAGUGAGUUGUGGUGGCUGUGAAGUGGAGAUCACAGGCCUUGCAGUGGAAGCUGGUGGCAGAAAAGGAUGCACCUUACCCUCAGAGAAUGUGCCUCCCAUACUGCCUUACUGAGAAAGAGAGGCCAAGACGAAGGGAGUGAUCUGGCAUCUAAGGGAAAAACUCUCCUGAAGAUAAGUGGCUGAUCAUUUUCAGAACAUUGUUGUCAAACAUUCUUAAUUUUAAUUCUGUUGAUCACAAGUUCCAACUUACUAUUUGGGGAAAUUCUUGUGUCUUUCUCUUACUGAAAAAAAAAAAAUCAGAGAAAUAACAGAAGAACUAGGCCUAAGUGAAGGAAGAGUGACACAAUUGCAUGUUCUGCCUUGCUCUGAUCAGUCCCUCUGGGAAGUCUCUGUCCCACUUUAUGAGAGACUGGUGUCAUGUUUUUUAAGAUUCCAGAUAGCAAGGAUAUGCAGAGCCCAUGAGCCAUCCAGAACUUCUCUCUGAGCUCCUGCAUAAGCCUACUUCUAUCUCCUGUAAGUCACCUUGACUGAAAAUUAUAGUAGGAGAAGAGGACAGAGGGAAAAAGACUGGUGGUUAGAGAAUACAUUCAGUCUCCUGGCGCCUUUUUUUUUUUUUUUUUUUUUUUUAAACAGAUGAUCUUAUGCACUCUCAUUUGGUUUGUUAGUCUGGUUUAGAAAGGGCAUGCCACCCUAUUAGCUGUGUGAAUAACAAAACACUGUAGGUCCCUGCCAUGCUUGGAGUCCUAACUGUCUGUAACCCAAGGGAAAAGCAGCAACAGCCAGCUCUUGGCAUCUUCCUCUUUGCUUGGUCUGGGAGGUUUUCUCGUUAUGAGAGAAAGUGUGGCACAAACGCUGUCUCCUUCGGAGCCAGUUUUCUCAAUGCUAUCUCUGUGAGGAAAGAUAGAUUGACCCACUGGCAACACUCUGUCUUGAUUCAAAUACACACCACAGAGCAGGCAAUUUGUGUAACUGGCGUACACUUUGCAAAGUAACUGAUUCUUGGCCCAUCUGAGAACUAGGCAUGAAGCAGUGAUACAACUUCAAGAGGACAGAGACAGGCCAUGGCAGCUUUCUUUCCCCUCUGAACCCAGAAGGGGUGCCUGCCCCUCUCCCUGUCCACGUUUUAGAGCAGCACUCUCUACUAAUUAUGCAGCCAUACCCUCCUUCUAAUGCUCUUGCAUGGUCUCUAUGGUUUCCACCCAAAAGACAGGUCACCAUGGUGUCUGCACAGGGUGAUAUUUGCUCUAAGAGGAGAGGAGAUCUAGCCUUCUGAGGGCAAUGCUCCAGUCCUGGAUGCCUGCCAGCAACAAACCCACCAGCCCUCAGAUCUCCAACUCUACUCCUUUUUUAGUACUCAGGGAUUCUGGAAGCUCCCCCAUUUCUGGAGGAUGGUUUUCAUUUGGCUAUCUUUCUCUCACAAGACUGGGGAAAAGCCCAAUCCUUCACAGCUAGUACUCGUCCUGUCCAGUGCGUUCAGUCUCGGUCUGGCUCUCGGCAUCUCUUUCUCCAAGUCACAGCAUUCUCUAGGCACUUGCUGACCCUGCUGUGUUCUGCCUGUGACAGGUCACCUGCUUUUUGAAUUCUUUCCACUCUCCUCCCAGUUAUUUGCGAUAGCCUCUUAGAAGCUUAAAAAUAACAUUUAUUUCCCCAGUGGUUUUGUAUAUUUCCAUUUGGCAAACUCUAUUUUGUUCCAUGUGUUUCUAAGGGAACAGAAACCAAAAUGGUUUAUGUCCUGCUUCCUACACUGGCCUGACUGAUGUUGUCAGACUGGAAUUGCCCUUCAGCCCAGAGUGGGUACACCCAACCAGAAGCUGGACCUGGGUGCAGAGACUGUAUAAACUACAAAGACAAUGGACAUUGUUUAACUGUUGGAAAAAUCUACUUCACUGUACUUCCUUUAAUCAAGCAGUGGAUUUUUUAAUAGAGAGAUUCAAACCAUUAUGCAUGGAUAUGAUAACAACGUGAAAGUGGGAUAUACACUGGGAUAUUGUGAACCCAUUAUUAAAAUAAAACUGAGGCCAAUACAAGACAUCAAAAUGGAAGGCAGUAGUUACCAGAAGGGGUACAUUGGGUGAUUCCUGGGGAAAGGAAAGAUGCAGGAAAUGUUCUAUUUGAAGAUCUGGGUGAUAAUUACAUGUGUGUUUACUUGCAAAAAUUCAUUGAGCUCUGUAAUUUAUGAUCACAUUUUUAUGCAUGUAUGUUCAAUAAAAGGUUGGCUUAAAACUGAGGGGAUGUGUUGAGGCAGGCAAUUAAGGUACUUAUUCUUUCAUUUGAUAUAUAUUGUUUUAGUUUUAGAGCAAUUCAGUGCUCAAUGGUAAACAUCGACUUUGUGCAUAUGUCAGAAAUAAGUUAAGUGGCCACAGGGCCUGGCUUCAAGGAGUUUACAGUUAGGAGGCAGCUACAAUAUAAGUUGAAGUGCUCAGUAUACCAAUGCUAAAUUCUUAGCUGUGCCAAAUGUACCGUAGUAAUGUAGGAUGUGAACAUUAGGGGGCACUAGCUGAGGGUAUGUGGGAAUUCUCUAUACAAUCCCUGCAGCUUGUCUGCAGAUCUGAUUAUAUUCUAAAUUUAAAGUUUUUU